UCUGGUGUGCACAACAAUAUCAUCUUUGGACAAGUGCAUUCAGUGUGUGGGACCGGUUUCCUCCCUCAAGUGGCUUGGCUAUAAGUGCAAAGUUUGUUUAGGGGUCUGGCACAAAUCCUGCCUUGCAAAAUUGUCAAAUCAGAAUUGUCACCAGUCAACACAG